CAAAGUGCUGGGAUUACAAGCGUGAGCCACCGCGCCCGGCCAUUGAUCGCCAGGGUUGAUUCGGCUGAUCUGGCUGGCUAGGCGGGUGUCCCCUUCCUCCCUCACUGCUCCAUGUGCGUCCCUCCCGAAGCUGCGCGCUCGGUCGAAGAGGACGACCAUCCCCGAUAGAGGAGGACAGGUCUUCUUCGGUCAAGGGUAUACGAGUAGCUGCGCUCCCCUGCUAGAACCUCCAAACAAGCUCUCAGGCAUUUUCUUAAUCAUGGUUGCCAAUGUUAGAGUAGUAAUACAUUUUGAAGUGCUUCCGUUGCUU
ensembl:misc_RNA 7SK 7SK RNA